rnacentral:rRNA from 1 species
GCACAAGCGGUGGAGUAUGUGGUUUAAUUCGAAGCAACGCGAAGAACCUUACCAGGUCUUGACAUCCCCUGACAACCCGAGAGAUCGGGCGUUCCCCUUCGGGGGACAGGGUGACAGGUGGUGCAUGGUUGUCGUCAGCUCGUGUCGUGAGAUGUUGGGUUAAGUCCCGCAACGAGCGCAACCCUCGACCUUAGUUGCCAGCAUUCAGUUGGGCACUCUAAGGUGACUGCCGGCUAAAAGUCGGAGGAAGGUGGGGAUGACGUCAAAUCAUCAUGCCCCUUAUGACCUGGGCUACACACGUGCUACAAUGGGCGGUACAAAGGGUCGCGAAGCCGCGAGGUGGAGCAAAUCGCAGAAAGCCGGCCUUAGUUCGGAUUGGAGUCUGAAACUCGACUCCAUGAAGGUGGAAUCGCUAGUAAUCGCGCAUCAGCAUGGCGCGGUCGAAUACGUUCCCGGGCCUU